GAGUGAGGGAGGGGGUGACUAGUGACAGUGAGGAAGGGGGUGACUAGGGACAGAGUGAGGGAGGGGGUGACUAGUGACAGUCACCUCCUCCUUCACUCUGUCACUAGUCACCCCCUCCCUCACUCUGUCACUGUGUCACCCCCUUCCUCACUCUGUCACUAGUCACCCAUUCCUUCCCUCACUC